GAGUCUUCCCUUGGAAAGAGCACAGCCCAGUCUGGAGCACAGGCACAGCUCAGGAGGGGUGCAAGGAGCCAUGGGACCUCUCAGGAGAGAGGAAGAAACAAAACAGCAGGUCCAGGAGGGAACUUGGACCAUCAGCAACAAAAGAGGAAACAUUGCCCUUCACUACCAAACCUCAAUCCAGGACACAGAAGUAAGUGUACGGGAAUGAAUGAAUGAAUGAAUGAAUGAAUGAAUGAACGAACGAACCAAGAAGGCUGUACAGCCCCCAGGGAGCCAUAGCCGUGAAGGCUGAUAUAAUGCAGUGUUUGGCACACAUUUCAAGCAAAACUUCCACUCAUUUCAACUCUGACCUGCGCUUUUCAUUUCUUAUAAGGUCUCAAUUGUUUUUUCAAAGCCUCAAAUUUAUUUUUCCUACUCCUGGGCUUCAGUACUGGGUCUUUGCUGGUGAAGAAAUAAAAGGCCUGACAUAACCCCUCUUGGGAGGCAAAGACUGCAGGGUCAGACUGCCUUAGUCAGAACCAUUCCUCUGCAAUAAAGAGCAGUGCAGUCUUAGGGCAGGUCUACCCAAAGCUCAGUCUCCCCAUCUGCCACCCAGGCAACAGUCAGACUCAUUAAGGGCAGUCCUGAGAGCAUCUCUCCAGCAGGGUACCUGACCAGUGGGAUGUGUUCAAGAGAGGAAGGUACCAUCAACAUAGACGCAGCAGGUCCACACUCCCUCCUUCCUCCCCGAAGGGUGUGCCUCCCCCCAUAUACACACUUCUCCUUCUCCCAGACUGUGAGGACACCAGUAGAAUGGGGAUCAAGAAUGAACACAGCACAGACGGUAGCAAGUGAUGGGACAAAUGUUGACGAGCACACAGGAUGUACUAGGCACGAUGCAGACAUGUUUUCACAAAGAACAAGCAAGCACAGCCUCUGGUGAUGGCUGGAAUACGGUUCAUCUCACAACCUCAAGCUGAAGUGCAAUCCCCACCAAGACAUAUUUAAAGGCGGCACCAGGUGGCACCUGUAAGGGCUAAUUAAAGCUCUGCCCUCAGGAGUGGAUUAAUCCAUUUAUGCACCUAAUGGAUUAAUGGAUUAUCUUGAGAGUGGAUCUGUUAUAAAAGCCAGUCUGGCUGGGUCUCUCACAUGUUCCCAGUCUCUUGUCAUGUGAUGUUCUGUACUCGUUUGUUACUUUGGCAAGGAGAAGGCUGUCACCAGAUGCAUCCCUUUGACCUCAAAUGGAGCCACCAAUCAAAAUAAACCUUUUUUUUCCUUUGUAAU
rnacentral:lncRNA from 1 species